GUGAUUUUACACAACAUGUUUGCAUCAUGCAGUAUAGAUGUUUUUGCACUUGAUGAGGGACAAAGACAGAGUAAGAAAGGAAGGGUGAAUGAGUUUAUUACUGUCUGUGAAGGCUGGAGAUGCUUUACAUUAGAGCAAGUUUGUGUACGUUAAGAAGUUCACCUUCCUAUUAUUUCUUAAUUUUCAGGUGGGACAGUUCUAAAUCAUUCAGUGAAUUAACCUUGCUGUUACCUUACCAGAAGGUGAAGCAAAGUGUGAGAUCAGCAAGAGAUUCUCUUAAAUUCCUUGUGAAAGGAGAUGAUCAAGGCACCAUUGGAACAGGACACUCGAUUCAUCAUCUCUUGGAACAGAUGGAUCUGAGGGUUACUUGCAUUAUCCUUCCAGUCAGAGGGAUUCAGCUUUUCACCGUGCAGCUUCAUAUACCACCUCCCAACACCUCAAGUCACCAAAUCCUGUUGGGAGUCUUUCUGCUUUUCAAAACACGUAACUAAUUCUUAAGGAAAUCAGUUACCUGAGUGACUUCGUGCUGUGAGAUCACAAGCUGAAUGACCGGAAGGACUCACUUUCUGACCUCUUGGGCAAAUUGGACUCGUGAUUCUCGGAUAAACUUCAGUAGAAAAAUUGUGAUAACUCUUGUACGGAUAUAUAGAAAAGCCAUGGUUCACCUAGCAAGUCUCCUUCAGUGGUCAGGACUAGACAGUUCAGAAGGGGGCAUGAAAACCCGUGUAGAAUACAACUGUGCGAAGAAAAUACCCUGCAGAAAGAUUUUGUCACCCCUGUCAACUGAUACUUGUCUUUAUGCCCUGAAAUGUGAGAUUUAUGUUCCAUGGAAAUUCUGUAUUUCUCUUUAUGAUAUGCUUUCGUUAUCAUGAAAUAAUUUUCUGCAGUUCCCUGGAGAGUUCUGCUGUUGAAUGAUGCCUCAGGUGGACAAAUACAACAGAUGUAUUCCCUUC